UACGUAGGUGGCAAGCGUUGUCCGGAUUUACUGGGCGUAAAGGGCGUGCAGGCGGUCUGUUAAGUUCAGGGUGAAAGCUCCCGGCUCAACUGGGAGAGGUCCUUGGAUACUGGCAGACUUGAGGGAGGUAGAGGAGAGUGGAAUUCCCGGUGUAGUGGUGAUAUGCGUAGAUAUCGGGAGGAACACCAGUGGCGAAGGCGGCUCUCUGGGCCUUUCCUGACGCUGAGACGCAAAAGCGUGGGGAGCGAACCGG
rnacentral:rRNA from 1 species